UGUUUUGAUUGCAGUCGAGAGAGUAAUUUGAAGAUUGUAUUUUGAUUCAUAUUGCGAGUAUAUUUAUUAAUGAUAUAUGUUUUUAUGAUUUUGUAGGUUUGAAUAGAGUGAUUAAAAGAUUGUGGUUUACUUAUCUACCAGCAUAAAAGGAUCAUAUCUAGCAUUUGCAUUAGUAUUCAACGUCUUCUUUAAUUUGUAUAUUUAUCCCCUUUCUCCGAUUUGUAUUUGAAUGUGUGUUCUAAUAUGUUAUUGAUUUCCAUUCUUCCCCCUUUAUAUUGAUGUUGCAGGUGUUAAUUUUAUCAUCCACCUGAUGCCGAACAAACAAGCAAACUGUUUAUGCCUUUUUUGAUACCAACAUAAUAACAUCUUGGAGGAGACUCCUAUUGGGAUAUCUUAGGUUGUGCGAUAUUACGUAUUAUCAUUGGUGUUAAUGCAUUCAACUCCAUUUAGUUGUUAAAUUUGGAACACAGACGAAGGUUAAGGAUUAUUAGGCCGACCGACCGGAGGGCCUGAAGGGCCCGAAGAAAGGAAAUCCUUUUUAUGGACAUUUUUUUGUAAAAUAAAUAUAGGAACACAAAUAUUCAAUUUGAACUUUCAAAAAAAAAAAUGAAAAAAAAAAAUCAAAUCAAUUUGAUGGAUAAUACCAAUUUGAUACCCAGGCAGAA